rnacentral:lncRNA from 1 species
UUUCAAAUGCCAUACAGGUUUAUUUUCUUACUGUGUGCCAUUUGGGACCAACAGAGCAACGGCUAGUUUUACCAAGAGAUUAUAUUUGAAUGAUACCUGAUUUGGUAUUUCAUUUAAAGUUCUGGAAAUGGGCUGGGCGCAGUGGCCCAUGCCUAUAAUCCCAGCACUUUGGGAGGCUGAGUCCAUAAGUGAAUGGUUAGGAACCCUAACCUUUACAGAGGGAAUGUUUUAUAGUUUCUAUUGGCAAUAACAGUGUAAAAUUGCUGAGAAUCAAAAUAUUGCUAGCCACAAUGCCAUUCCUUCUGACCCCCUUACCCUACACAUACCCCUGGAGAAAUAAUAUAAAUUUAAAACCUGAAAUUACUCCUGCUUUCCCAUUUCCCCCCUUAUUUUCAUAGACCACCACCUUUUCUUUUGAUCCCUACUAUCUUUCUUUCCAGUGGGAAAGUGGCUCCUUUA